GUUAGGUCAUGCAAGCAUUGUUACAAUUGAUAAAAACACAUAUUUUCAUUUAGUGAAUGUGAUAACCUGUACUAAUAAUUUGGUCAACUUACCGAUGAUAACUCAAUGUAAGUAUUAACAAACUCGGUACGUGUUUGUUAUUGUCAAUAAUAUCUUUAAAUUGUACAACUCGCUUAUGUUUGACAAUUACUGAGUAAUUGCUUUGCUUAUUGCAUGCUAAUUGCUGAAAAUUGCUUUUUAUUUUAAAUUCCUUAGUUAAAAAUUGCUUUUUCUUUCACAUUUCUCUGCUUAUUGAAUGACUAUUGCUAACUCAUUAGAUAGAACCUACUUCUCAUAUAAGUAGGUGGAUGCGGCCUCGAUUAGCGGGGGAACCACAUGAAAAAAAGCGAGCUACUGGGUGUACCUCCUGGGUAGUUUGGAAAUCACCUAAAAUAUAUAUGUAUAUAUUUAUAAAUAAAAGUUAAUAUAUAUAAAUUAACAUUAUUAUUUUUUAACAGGAAAUGCACAAUGCUAAAAACUGCGUAGGAGAUUUUAAUACAAUAGUACUACCAAGCCUGAUGUUGGCCGCUAUUUCAAUGAAUGCAGCAAUGUGACAGCUAGCAAUCAAAAGUAACAAGAUAUCGAGGAAAUGCAGAUGGCAAUAAACUGUGUAGGAGUUCAUGAUUGCAAUAGAAUAAAAUCGACCAAGCCUGAAGUCAGCAGCCCCUUCAAUGAAUGCAGCAGUGUGACAGCCAGCAAUCAAAAGUUACAAGAUAUCGAGGAAAUGCAGAAGGCAAAAAACUGCGUAGGAGAUCAUUAAUACAAUAGUAUUAUAUAAACCAAGCCUGAUGUUGGCCGCUCAUUCAAAGAAUGCAGCAGUGUGACAGCCAGCAAUCAAAAGUAACAAGAUGUCGAGGAAAUGCAGAGUGUAAUAAACUGUGUAGGAGAUUAUGAUUGCAAUAGAAUAAAAUCGACCAAGCCUGAAGUCCUUCAAUGCACGCAGCAGUGUGACAGCCAGCAAUCAAAAGUUACAAGAUAUCGAGGAAAUACAGAAGGCAAAGAAGCAGAUGUCAUCAAAGAAGAUCUUUGUUCCUGCAAUGUUUCCGCAGACGAUACAUCCAACAGAGCGAAGUGGAAGGAAAAGACUCGGAAUAAAGACCCCACCACCAUAUGGGAACAAUGCAAGGGAGAGAGAGAGAAUAUAAUGUUAUAUUUUUAUUUUUUGAUAACAUAAAAUAAA